GUGUCAGCAGCCGCGGUAAUACGGAGGAUCCAAGCGUUAUCCGGAUUCAUUGGGUUUAAAGGGUGCGUAGGCGGACUGAUAAGUCAGCGGUGAAAUCCCACGGCUCAACUGUGGAACUGCCGUUGAUACUGUUAGUCUUGAAUGCAGAUGAUGUGGGCGGAAUAUGACAUGUAGUGGUGAAAUACUUAGAUAUGUCAUAGAACACCGAUUGCGAAGGCAGCUCACAAAACUGUGAUUGACGCUGAUGCACGAAAGCGUGGGGAUCAAACAGGAUUAGAUACCCUCGUAGUCC
rnacentral:rRNA from 1 species